rfam:Betaproteobacteria bacterium RBG_16_58_11 RBG_16_scaffold_2528, whole genome shotgun sequence.
GGGGGCGACCUGGCUUCGACGUGGGUUGCGAAGCAGUGCAGUGCAUACCGAGGACCAGUUACCUCGUAAAUACAUCUGGAAAUUUAUAGUUGCCAACGACGACAACUACGCUCUAGCCGCUUAAUACCGGUUAGACUCUGCACCACUUCUCCCAUGGGGUGGAUCUGAGCAAUCAGACGCAGAGUCAUAUACAUGGGAUCGUGUCGUGCAGGGUCGCUUUGCACGUUCGCUAAAUCCAAGGCGACUCGCUUGAACUCAGCCUGUUCGGCCGGCGUAGUUCGGGUUAAAACCAAAAGACCGGACUAAGUAUGUAGAUCUGUCUGUAGAGGACUUGCGGACGGGGGUUCGAUCCCCCCCGCCUCCACCA